rnacentral:rRNA from 1 species
CCCUUAGACGUUCUGGGCCGCACGCGCGCUACACUGACACAGGCAACGAGCUUUCCUUUACCGAAAGGUAUGGGUAAUCUUUUGAAACUGUGUCGUGCUGGGGAUAGAUCCUUGCAAUUUUCGAUCUUAAACGAGGAAUUCCUAGUAAGCGCGAGUCAUCAACUCGCGUUGAUUACGUCCCUGCCCUUUGUACACACCGCCCGUCGCUACUACCGAUUGAAUGGCUUAGUGAGGCCUCAGGAUCCGCGCUUAAUGUGUGGAGAAUUUGGACAAACUACGUCAUUUAGAGGAAGUAAAAGUCGUAACA